rnacentral:tRNA from 1 species
CAGAAAAUAGUUUAUUGGAAAACAUCAGCUUUGGGAGCUGGAGAGAGAGGUUUGAGUCCUUUUUUUCUGA